rnacentral:rRNA from 1 species
UACAGAGGUCUCAAGCGUUGUUCGGAUUCAUUGGGCGUAAAGGGUGCGUAGGCGGCGCGGUAAGUCGGGGUGUGAAAUCUCGGAGCUUAACUCCGAAACUGCAUUCGAUACUGUCGUGCUUGAGGACUGGAGAGGAGACUGGAAUUUACGGUGUAGCGGUGAAAUGCGUAGAUAUCGUAAGGAAGACCAGUGGCGAAGGCGGGGUCUCUGGACAGUUCCUGACGCUGAGGCACGAAGGCCAGGGGAGCAAACGGGG